rnacentral:rRNA from 1 species
GUGGGGAAUUUUGGACAAUGGGCGCAAGCCUGAUCCAGCAAUGCCGCGUGCAGGAAGAAGGCCUUCGGGUUGUAAACUGCUUUUGUACGGAACGAAACGGUCCGGGUUAAUACCCUGGGCUAAUGACGGUACCGUAAGAAUAAGCACCGGCUAACUACGUGCCAGCAGCCGCGGUAAUACGUAGGGUGCAAGCGUUAAUCGGAAUUACUGGGCGUAAAGCGUGCGCAGGCGGUUUUGUAAGACCGGCGUGAAAUCCCCGGGCUCAACCUGGGAAUUGCGCUUGUGACUGCAAGGAUGGAGUGCGGCAGAGGGGGAUGGAAUUCCGCGUGUAGCAGUGAAAUGCGUAGAUAUGCGGAGGAACUCCGAUGGCGAAGUCAAUCCCCUGGGCCUGCACUGACGCUCAUGCACGAAAGCGUGGGGAGCAAACAGGAUUAGAAACCCGAGUAGUCC